UCUCUUAAACUUUUCAUCCCUUUGUAAUUGGAGUGUUUGGUCUGUAAAUUUUUGAGUGAACCCGAGUGGUUGUGUGGCUUUGCUGAGUGCUUUUGAUUCUAAAAUUUGUGAGUUUUGGGUGUUAAAUCCGAGAGCUUGAGAUUUUGUUGUGCUUGGUUUUUAUUCUAAAAUUCUGAAAA